rnacentral:rRNA from 1 species
CUAGCCAUAAACCUAAAUAGUUCCAACAACAUAACUAUUCGCCAGAGGACUACUAGCAAUAGCUAAAAACUCAAAGGACUUGGCGGUGCUUUAUACCCC